UACGUAGGGGGCAAGCGUUGUCCGGAUUUAUUGGGCGUAAAGAGCGUGUAGGCGGCCAGACAGGUCUGCUGUGAAAACUCGAGGCUCAACCUCGAGACGCCGGUGGAAACCGUCUGGCUAGAGUCCGGAAGAGGAGAGUGGAAUUCCUGGUGUAGCGGUGAAAUGCGCAGAUAUCAGGAAGAACACCCGUGGCUAAGGCGGCUCUCUAGUACGGUACUGACGCUGAGACGCGAAAGCGUGGGUAGCAAACAGG
rnacentral:rRNA from 1 species